rnacentral:rRNA from 1 species
UGGCGAAAGGGAGAGUAACGCGUGGUUAUGUACCUCGGAGACCGGGAUAGCGUUGGGAAACUGGCGGUAAUACCGGAUAAUAUCUUUGGAUCAAAUGGUGUGAUUCCGCUCUGAGAUCGGACCGCGUACUAUUAGCUUGUUGGUGGGGUAAUGGCCCACCAAGGCUGCGAUGGUUACCGGGUGUGAGAGCAUGGCCCGGCUCACUGGGACUGAGACACUGCCCAGACAUCUACGGAUGGCUGCAGUCGAGAAUCUUUGUCAAUGGGCGAAAGCCUGAACAAGCGACGCCGCGUGCGGGAUGAAGGCCCUCGGGUUGUAAACCGCUGUCAGUUGUUAGGAAAUCCCUAGGGGCACUCCCCUAGGGUUGACCGAUCUUCAGAGGAAGGACGGGCUAAGUUCGUGCCAGCAGCCGCGGUAAG